rnacentral:lncRNA from 1 species
AUUUUAGUGGAAUUGCAUGUGUAGAUGUUAUGUGUGGGACUUGGACACUUGUCCUAAUUUUUUUUUUCUUUUCUUUUUGGUUUUGUGUGUGUGUGUUUGAGUGAGUUUCAGGAGUUAGUUGGCCGCCGAGUUUGAGCUUCAAUGGAUCACGCGACUUGCCUCUUUGGAUUUCUCAUGGCUUCCAAUAAUUUCUAUGAAACUUUUCCGUUUCGUUCAAUGAGGACACUGCCUAAACUAAGUGUGGGGGUGAG